rnacentral:rRNA from 1 species
UACGGAGGGUGCAAACGUUGCUCGGAAUCAUUGGGCGUAAAGCGCACGUAGGCGGCCUGUUAAGUCGGGUGUGAAAGCCCUGGGCUCAACCCAGGAAGUGCACUCGAAACUGGCGGGCUUGAAUAUGGAAGAGGGUCGCGGAAUUCCUGGUGUAGCGGUGAAAUGCGUAGAGAUCGGGAGGAACACCCGUGGCGAAGGCGGCCAACUGGGCCGACCCUGACGCUGAGGCGCGAAGGCGUGGGGAGCGAACGGG